UACGUAGGGACCGAGCGUUGUCCGGAAUCAUUGGGCGUAAAGAGCGUGUAGGCGGCUAUUUAAGUCCUGCGUGAAAUCCUGCGGCUCAACCGCAGACGGUCGUGGGAAACUGGAUGGCUAGAGUGCGGGAGAGGAGAGUGGAAUUCCCGGUGUAGCGGUGAAAUGCGCAGAUAUCUGGAGGAACACCGGUGGUGUAAACGGCUUUCUGGACCAUAACUGACACUGAGGCACGAAAGCGUGGGUAGCAAACAGG
rnacentral:rRNA from 1 species